rnacentral:rRNA from 1 species
GACGAACGCUGGCGGCGUGCUUAACACAUGCAAGUCGAACGGAAAGGCCCUGCUUUUGUGGGGUGCUCGAGUGGCGAACGGGUGAGUAACACGUGAGUAACCUGCCCUUGACUUUGGGAUAACUUCAGGAAACUGGGGCUAAUACCGGAUAGGAGCUCCUGCUGCAUGGUGGGGGUUGGAAAGUUUCGGCGGUUGGGGAUGGACUCGCGGCUUAUCAGCUUGUUGGUGGGGUAGUGGCUUACCAAGGCUUUGACGGGUAGCCGGCCUGAGAGGGUGACCGGGCACAUUGGGACUGGGGUACGGCCCAGACUGCUACGGGAGGCAGCAGGGGGGAAUAUUGCGCAAUGGGCGGAAGCCUGAUGCAGCAACGCCGCGUGCGGGAUGACGGCCUUCGGGGUGUAAACCGCCUUCGCCUGUGACGAAGCGUGAGUGACGGUAAUGGGUAAAGAAGCACCGGCUAACUACGUG